rnacentral:rRNA from 1 species
CAGCCGUAAACUAUGCUCGCUAGGUGUCAGGCAUGGCGCGACCGUGUCUGGUGCCGCAGGGAAGCCGUGAAGCGAGCCACCUGGGAAGUACGGCCGCAAGGCUGAAACUUAAGGAAUUGGCGGGGGAGCACAACAACGGGUGGAGCCUGCGGUUUAAUUGGACUCAACGCCGGGAAGCUCACCGGAUAGGACAGCCAGAAUGAUUGCCGGGCUGAAGACCCUGCAUGACUAGCUGAGAGGAGGUGCAUGGCGUAGACGUCU